rnacentral:sRNA from 1 species
CGGGUUGUCAUUGGGGAGUAGCCAUCCUCACCCCGCGCAGCCUCCAGGCUGCGUAUUCCAGAGGAAUCCGCGUCAACAGACUUGAAGCCCCGGCUUCAUGGCGUGGAUGGUCAACGACACGUUCGGUGUCGACAGCCCGGCGAGACCUUUGGCC